AAAUUGAAGAGUUUGAUCAUGGCUCAGAUUGAACGCUGGCGGCAGGCCUAACACAUGCAAGUCGAACGGUAACAGGAAGCAGCUUGCUGCUUCGCUGACGAGUGGCGGACGGGUGAGUAAUGUCUGGGAAACUGCCUGAUGGAGGGGGAUAACUACUGGAAACGGUAGCUAAUACCGCAUAACGUCGCAAGACCAAAGAGGGGGACCUUCGGGCCUCUUGCCAUCGGAUGUGCCCAGAUGGGAUUAGCUUGUUGGUGGGGUAACGGCUCACCAAGGCGACGAUCCCUAGCUGGUCUGAGAGGAUGACCAGCCACACUGGAACUGAG
rnacentral:rRNA from 3 species